rnacentral:rRNA from 1 species
CAGUCGCCGCGGUAAUACGAAGGGUGCAAGAGUUACUCGGAAUUACUGGGCGUAAAGCGUGCGUAGGUGGUGGUUUAAGUCCGUUGUGAAAGCCCUGGGCUCAACCUGGGAAUUGCAGUGGAUACUGGAUCACUAGAGUGUGGUAGAGGAUAGUGGAAUUUCCGGUGUAGCAGUGAAAUGCGUAGAGAUCGGAAGGAACAUCUGUGGCGAAGGCGACUAUCUGGGCCAACACUGACACUGAGGCACGAAAGCGUGGGGAGCAAACAGGAUUAGAUACCCGCGUAGUCCCUGUCUCUUAUAC